rnacentral:tRNA from 1 species
GGAUUGUGGCUCAGUGGUGGAGCGCUACCCUAGCAUGGGUGGGACCCGGGUUCAAUCCUCAGCACCA